rnacentral:lncRNA from 1 species
AGAAAUUGAUUGCCCUUGGCUUAGAACUUGAAACUUCAUGCUUUGUAAUGCUGUUUACAACAUACACAACAUCAAGUAAAAUAAUAUGUCACAUGUUAAGUGAGAACUGAUCACAAUAUCCAAGAACAGAGAAAUAAAUAAAUUUAAAUUAAAAAAACUCUACCAUAAGAAAUUCAUUCACAAAUUGACUUAAAAAAUGUUGUUAAAACUUAUAUCGUGCACAACAUAGUGGCAAAGUGUCUAUUGACGACUUACCAAAAUCCAGAGGCUUACUGCUAGGCACCAUAGAAUUGGAUGCAUUUGAUUCGUGUUUAAUAACUUGGAAGGAAAGAAAAACAAUCGCCUGUUCAAUAUAGAGGGAGCUCCUCUGAUUGCUACUUUGAUAUCAUUAUCUAAUAUCUGUCUCUUUUGUCCAAUUGGAACGCCUUUGGCUUGUGCUUCGCCCUCUUUUUGUAAAUUUUACAAACCAAUGAAAUUAAUUUGUUUCUUU